AUAUUUGGCUUCAUCAUCGCGCUCUUUAUUUCACAUUGAUUCAGCAAAGCCUCCAUUAUUUCUUGUUUUAAGCUCCUUUUCUCUUCUUCGACUGGGAGUUGAAGAGGAACAAUAUGUGGUACUUUAGGAAUUCAGUGUAUUGGGAAAACUUUGGUAUUAAAGUUACUGGCAUAUAUGAGUUUUUCAACUUUCUCAAAUUUAUAAAUGCCAAAGAAAGAGCAAAAAAGCUUGGCUUUUGCGUGCGUUUUGACAACCUGCUACAUUGUUAUCAAAAGAGAGACGACUAUAAGAGUCUCUUACUUCAUAUAUAUUCCGCAUGAAUCAAUUUAUUUUCCUAAAAUGAAAUUGUCUGAUUUUUAAUAUGAAAAUCAAUGUUUAUGCCCUUCUCACACUUAUGCAUCUUCCAAAAGACUUUUUGCUGUGUCGUGGUAGUCCAUUCAUGUGCCUGUUCUGUUCAACAUUUCGGAGUCUGGUAAGUAUUGCUCUUCUAUUGGCAUUGCAACACACUUUGUUAUGAAUAGAUCUAAGCAAAUAUGAAGCUCCUCCUAUGAUGCUGUUUUCAGAAUAGCGAGACUUGACUGCUAAGCUCCCCACUACAGCUGAUACUCAGAGCCUCAAAGGGAAUGAUGGGUUAGAACGUACGCAGGAUGUGCUUGAAGACAAACAGUUCCUAUAUUUUGUUGGUGUCAUAUCUUCAAUAGUUAAUUGUAAUAAUUGGUAGGUACGGGGUUCUUAUGUUAUCUUUGAAAGAUACUGUUAAAGGCAUGUCUACUAUGCACAAGAUGUAACCAUCUUACUGUGCACAAGAUGUACCAAAACGUUUUAAUGCUUAUGGUUAUGCAUGUAUUUUCAUUUAUAUAAGGAGCAGUGCCAAUAUUGUCACCAGAAUAUUUGCGAAAAACAACAUAAAAAGCUCAACACGUUACCAU